UACGAAGGGGGCUAGCGUUGUUCGGAAUUACUGGGCGUAAAGCGUGCGCAGGCGGUUAUGUAAGACAGGUGUGAAAUCCCCGGGCUUAACCUGGGAACUGCAUUUGUGACUGCAUAGCUAGAGUACGGUAGAGGGGGGAUGGAAUUCCGCGUGUAGCAGUGAAAUGCGUAGAUAUGCGGAGGAACACCGAUGGCGAAGGCAAUCCCCUGGACCUGUACUGACGCUCAUGCACGAAAGGCGUGGGGAGCAAACAGG
rnacentral:rRNA from 1 species